CCUACGGGAGGCAGCAGUGGGGAAUAUUGGGCAAUGGGCGCAAGCCUGACCCAGCAACGCCGCGUGAAGGAAGAAGGCUCUCGGGUUGUAAACUUCUUUUAUCGGGGACGAAGCAAGUGACGGUACCUGAUGAAUAAGCCACGGCUAACUACGUGCAGGCAGCCGCGGUAAUACGUAGGUGGCAAGCGUUAUCCGGAUUUACUGGGUGUAAAGGGCGUGUAGGCGGGAAAGCAAGUCAGAUGUGAAAACCAUGGGCUCAACCUGUGGCCUGCAUUUGAAACUGUUUUUCUUGAGUACUGGAGAGGCAGACGGAAUUUCUAGUGUAGCGGUGAAAUGCGUAGAUAUUAGGCGGAACACCAGUGGCGAAGGCGGUCUGCUGGACAGCAACUGACGCUGAGGCGCGAAAGCGUGGGGAGCAAACAGGAUUAGAUACCCGGGUAGUC
rnacentral:rRNA from 1 species